rnacentral:tRNA from 1 species
CAAGGGGUAGUUUAAGUAAAAAUAUUAAUUUUGGAGAUUAAUGAUAAGAUUAUCUUUCCCUUGA